UUUCCGUAGGUGAACCUGCGGAAGGAUCAUUAUUGAAAUAAACCUGAUGGGUUGCUGCUGGCUCUCUAGGGAGCAUGUGCACACUUGUCAUCUUUAUAUCUUCCCCUGUGCACCUUUUGUAGACCUGGAUAUCUUUCUGAAUGCCUGGCACUUGGGUUUGAGGAUUGACUUUUUCGUCUUUUCUUACAUUUCCAGACCUAUGUUUUCUUCAUAUACACCAUGUAUGUUAUAGAAUGUAAUGAAAAAGGCCUUUGUGCUACAAACCUAUACAACUUUCAGCAACGGAUCUCUUGGCUCUC
rnacentral:rRNA from 1 species